rnacentral:ncRNA from 2 species
CCAUAGAUGACAUGCCGAGCUGCACCACCUAAGCGCAUUAUCGCGUAGGGUUUUGCAGCCGAUGCGCAAAAAAAGUGCGCAAAAGAAAAGGCUGGCCGUUAUUGAUGCAGUCUCUUCUCAGGGUAAAGAUGGAAACGCCUUUGCCUCCCAACCUGGAAAGGCAUCUAUGCAAAGACAAC